AAUCAACGCUGGCGGCGUGCCUCAGACAUGCAAGUCGAACGAUUAAAGCUCUCUUCGGAGAGUGUAUAGAGUGGCGCACGGGUGAGUAACACGUAAGUAAUCUACCCUCGAGUGGGGAAUAACGUCCGGAAACGGACGCUAAUACCGCAUAAUGCAGCGGCACCGCAAGGUGACAGUUGUUAAAGGAGAAAUUCGCUUGAGGAGGAGCUUGCGGCAGAUUAGCUUGUUGGUAAGGUAACGGCUUACCAAGGCUACGAUCUGUAACCGGUCUUAGAGGACGGUCGGUCACACUGACACUGAAUAACGGGUCAGACUCCUACGGGAGGCAGCAGUCGGGAAUUUUGGGCAAUGGGCGAAAGCCUGACCCAGCAACGCCGCGUGAAGGAUGAAGUAUUUCGGUAUGUAAACUUCGAAAGAAUAGGAAGAAUAAAUGACGGUACUAUUUAUAAGGUCCGGCUAACUACGUGCCAGCCGCCGCCGUAAU
rnacentral:rRNA from 1 species